CUCACUCUCCGGGGCCCGGUCUGCGCCCAGGCUGAACACCACGAACGCCUGGGACGCAGCUCCUCCUUCCCUGGGGAGCCAGCCCCUCUACCGCUCCAGCCUCUCCCACCUGGGACCGCAGCACCUGCCCCCAGGAUCCUCCACCUCCGGUGCAGUCAGUGCCUCCCUCCCCAGCGGUCCCUCAAGCAGCCCAGGGAGCGUCCCUGCCACUGUGCCCAUGCAGAUGCCAAAGCCCAGCAGAGUCCAGCAGGCGCUCGCAGGAGCGACCCCGAAGCCAGAGCCAGAGCCAGAGCAGGUCAUAAAAAACUACACGGAAGAGCUGAAAGUGCCCCCAGAUGAGGACUGCAUCAUCUGCAUGGAGAAGCUGUCCGCAGCGUCUGGAUACAGCGAUGUGACUGACAGCAAGGCAAUCGGGCCCCUGGCUGUGGGCUGCCUCACCAAGUGCAGCCACGCCUUCCACCUGCUGUGCCUCCUGGCCAUGUACUGCAACGGCAAUAAGGGCCCUGAGCACCCCAAUCCCGGAAAGCCGUUCACUGCCAGAGGGUUUCCCCGCCAGUGCUACCUUCCAGACAACGCCCAGGGCCGCAAGCCUCCAGGGGCUUCCAGAACCCGGAGACACUGGCUGACAUUCCGGCCUCCCCACAGCUGCUGACCGAUGGCCACUACAUGACGCUGCCCGUGUCUCCGGACCAGCUGCCCUGUGACGACCCCAUGGCGGGCAGCGGAGGCGCCCCCGUGCUGCGGGUGGGCCAUGACCACGGCUGCCACCAGCAGCCCUUCUGCAACGCGCCCCUCCCUGGCCCUGGACCCUAUCGUACAGAACCUGCUAAGGCCAUCAAACCUAUUGAUCGGAAGUCAGUCCAUCAGAUUUGCUCUGGGCAGGUGGUACUGAGUCUAAGCACUGGAUGAAGAAGAUAGUAGAAAACAGUCUGGAUGCUGGUGCCACUAAUGUUGAUCUAAAGCUUAAGGACUAUGGAAUGGAUCUCAUUGAAGUUUCAGGCAAUGGAUGUGGGGUAGAAGAAGAAAACUUCGAAGGCUUAAUGAUGUCACCAUUUCUACCUGCCACGUAUCGGCGAAGGUUGGGACUCGACUGGUGUUUGAUCACGAUGGGAAAAUCAUCCAGAAAACCCCCUACCCCCACCCCAGAGGGACCACAGUCAGCGUGAAGCAGUUAUUUUCUACGCUACCUGUGCGCCAUAAGGAAUUUCAAAGGAAUAUUAAG
rnacentral:lncRNA from 1 species